GAGUUUGAUCCUGGCUCAGAACGUACGCUGGCGGCACGCCUAACACAUGCAAGUCGAACGCAGUAGCAAUACUGAGUGGCAAACGGGUGAGUAUAAUGUGGGAAUCUGCCUUUUGGUUUGGAAUAACACGGGGAAACUUGUGCUAAUACCGAAUAAGCCCUUACGGGGAAAGUUUUAAUGCCGAAAGAUGAGCCCGCACUUGAUUAGCUAGUUGGUAAGGUAAAAGCUUACCAAGGCAAUGAUCAAUAGCUGUUCUUAGAGGAAGACCAGCCACAUUGGGACUGAGACACGGCCCAGACUCCUACGGGAGGCAGCAGUGGGGAAUCUUGCACAAUGGGGGAAACCCUGAUGCAGCGAUGCCGCGUGAGUGAAGAAGGCCUUUGGGUUGUAAAACUCUUUCGUCGGGGAAGAAAAUGACUGUACCCGAAUAAGAAGGUCCGGCUAACUUCGUGCCAGCAGCCGCGGUAAUACGAAGGGACCUAGCGUAGUUCGGAAUUACUGGGCUUAAAGAGCUCGUAGGUGGUUAAAAAAGUUGAUGGUGAAAUCCCAAGGCUCAACCUUGGAACUGCCAUCAAAACUUUUUAGCUAGAGUGUGAUAGAGGUAAGUGGAAUUUCUAGUGUAGAGGUGAAAUUCGUAGAUAUUAGAAAAGAACACCAAAUGCGAAGGCAACUUACUGGGUCACUACUGACACUGAGGAGCGAAAGCAUGGGGUAGCGAAGAGGAUUAGAUACCCUCGUAGUCCAUGCCGUAAACGAUGUGUGCUAGACGUUUGGAAAUAUAUUUUUUCAGUGUCGCAGCGAAAGCAUUAAGCACACCCGCCUGGGGAGUACGAACCGCAAGUUAAAACUCAAAUGAAUUGACGGGGACC
rnacentral:rRNA from 1 species